rnacentral:rRNA from 1 species
UACGGAGGGGACUAGCGUUGUUCGGAAUUACUGGGCGUAAAGGGUGCGUAGGCGGGUCUUUAAGUCAGGGGUGAAAUCCUGGAGCUCAACUCCAGAACUGCCUUUGAUACUGAAGAUCUUGAGUUCGGGAGAGGUGAGUGGAACUGCGAGUGUAGAGGUGAAAUUCGUAGAUAUUCGCAAGAACACCAGUGGCGAAGGCGGCUCACUGGCCCGAUACUGACGCUGAGGCACGAAAGCGUGGGGAGCAAACAGGG